UUCCGGUUGAUCCCGCCGGACCUGACUGCUAUCGGAUUGAUACUAAGCCAUGCGAGUCUUUGUAGUAAUACAAGGCAGACGGCUCAGUAACACGUAGUCAACCUACCCUAUGGACGAGGAUAAUCUCGGGAAACUGAGGAUAAUACUCGAUAGAUCAUAAUGCCUGGAAUGGUUUAUGGUUAAAAUGAUUCGUCGCCAUAGGAUGGGACUGCGGCCUAUCAGCUUGUUGGUGAGGUAAUGGCCCACCAAGGCGAUUACAGGUACGGGCUCUGAGAGGAGAAGCCCGGAGAUGGGUACUGAGACAAGGACCCAGGCCCUAUGGGGCGCAGCAGGCGAGAAAACUUUGCAAUGUGCGAAAGCACGACAAGGUUAAUCCGAGUGAUUUCUGCUAAAGAGAUCUUUUACCAGUCAUAAAACCACUGGUGAAUAAGGGGUGGGCAAGUUCUGGUGUCAGCCGCCGCGGUAAAACCAGCACCUCAAGUGGUCAGGAUGAUUAUUGGGCCUAAAGCAUCCGUAGCCGGCUCUGUAAGUUUUCGGUUAAAUCCAUGUGCUCAACGCAUGGGCUGCCGAAAAUACUGCAUAGCUAGGGAGUGGGAGAGGUAGACGGUACUCAGUAGGAAGGGGUAAAAUCCUUUGAUCUAUUGAUGACCACCUGUGGCGAAGGCGGUCUACCAGAACACGUUCGACGGUGAGGGAUGAAAGCUGGGGGAGCAAACCGGAUUAGAUACCCGGGUAGUCCCAGCUGUAAACGAUGCAGACUCGAUGAUGCAUUGGCAUAUAGCCAGUGCAGUGUCGCAGGGAAGCCGUUAAGUCUGCCGCCUGGGAAGUACGUACGCAAGUAUGAAACUUAAAGGAAUUGGCGGGGGAGCACCACAAGGGGUGAAGCCUGCGGUUCAAUUGGAUUCAACGCCGGG
rnacentral:rRNA from 1 species